rnacentral:rRNA from 1 species
AUACGGAGGGGGCUAGCGUUGUUCGGAAUUACUGGGCGUAAAGCGUACGUAGGCGGACUGAUCAGUUGGGGGUGAAAUCCCAGGGCUUAACCCUGGAACUGCCUUCAAUACUGUCAGUCUUGAGAUUGGAAGAGGUGAGUGGAAUUCCUAGUGUAGAGGUGAAAUUCAUAGAUAUUAGGAGGAACACCAGUGGCGAAGGCGGCUCACUGGUCCAAUACUGUCGCUGAGGCGCGAAAGCGUGGGGAGCAAACAGGAUUAGAAACCCCUGUAGUCC